rnacentral:rRNA from 1 species
GAUAAACGCUGGCGGCGUGCCUAAUACAUGCAAGUCGUGCGGUAAGGCCCCUUCGGGGGUACACGAGUGGCGGACGGCAGAGUAACGCGUAGGAACGUACCCCAAAGUGAGGGAUAACUGCUCGAAAGAGUAGCUAAUACCGCAUACGAUCUUCGGAUUAAAGCAGCAAUGCGCUUUGGGAACGGCCUGCGUCCGAUUAGCUAGUUGGUAGAGUAAUAGCCUACCAAGGCGACGAUCGGUAGCUGGUCUGAGAGGAUGAUCAGCCUGACUGGAACUGAGACACGGUCCAGACUCCUACGGGAGGCAGCAGUAGGGAAUUUUCCACAAUGGGCGAAAGCCUGAUGGAGCAACGCCGCGUGCAGGAUGAAGGCCUUCGGGUUGUAAACUGCUUUUCUUUGUGAUGAAUUUGACAGUAGCAGAGGAAUAAGGGUCUUCUAACUACGUGCCAGCAGCCGCCGUAA